rnacentral:rRNA from 1 species
GGAGACUGCCGGUGAUAAACCGGAGGAAGGUGGGGACGACGUCAAGUCAUCAUGGCCCUUACGAGUAGGGCUACACACGUGCUACAAUGGCGCAUACAGAGGGCAGCCAACUUGCGAAAGUGAGCGAAUCCCAAAAAGUGCGUCGUAGUCCGGAUUGGAGUCUGCAACUCGACUCCAUGAAGUCGGAAUCGCUAGUAAUCGUGGAUCAGAAUGCCACGGUGAAUACGUUCCC